rnacentral:rRNA from 1 species
UACGUAGGGGGCAAGCGUUGUCCGGAUUUAUUGGGCGUAAAGAGCGUGUAGGCGGCCAGAUAGGUCCGUUGUGAAAACUGGAGGCUUAACCUCCAGCUGUCGAUGGAAACCAUCUGGCUAGAGUCCGGAAGAGGAGAGUGGAAUUCCUGGUGUAGCGGUGAAAUGCGCAGAUAUCAGGAGGAACACCGGUGGCGAAGGCGGGUCUCUGGGCCGACAUUGACGCUGAGGAGCGAAAGCGUGGGGAGCGAACAGG